UACGUAGGUGGCAAGCGUUGUCCGGAGUUAUUGGGCGUAAAGCGCGCGCAGGCGGUGCGGUAAGUCUAUGGUGAAAGCGCUCGGCUUAACUGGGCGAGGGCCGUGGAGACUGCCGGACUGGAGGGGAGCAGAGGCGAGUGGAAUUCCCGGUGUAGCAGUGAAAUGCGUAGAGAUCGGGAGGAACAUCUGUGGCGAAGGCGACUGCCUGGACCAGCACUGACACUGAGGCACGAAAGCGUGGGGAGCAAACAGG
rnacentral:rRNA from 1 species